rnacentral:rRNA from 1 species
ACACCCGCUAUCCGCCCGGGAACUACGAGCAAAAGCUUAAAACCCAAAGGACUUGGCGGUGCUUUAAACCCACCUAGAGGAGCCUGUUCUAGAACCGAUAACCCCCGUUCAACCUCACCCUUCCUUGUUUUUCCCGCCUAUAUACCGCCGUCGUCAGCUUACCCCAUGAAGGUCUAAUAGUAAGCAAGACUGGUAAAACCUAAAACGUCAGGUCGAGGUGUAGCGCAUGAAAGGGGAAGAAAUGGGCUACAUUCGCUGCUACAGCGAACACGAAAGGUGCACUGAAACGUACAUCUGAAGGAGGAUUUAGCAGUAAGCGGGGAAUAGAGCGUCCCGCUGAAAUCGGCCCUGAAGCGCGCACACACCGCCCGUCACUCUCCCCAAAAACACCUACUCAGUUAAUUAAAACCUAAUAAUUAUAGAGGGGAGGCAAGUCGUAACAUGGUAAGUGUACCGGAAGGUGCACUUGGGAUAU